rnacentral:rRNA from 1 species
AUGGCGCUUCGCGCGGCGGAGCUCCGGCGACUCCUCCUCCUCCGCGGCGGGGCGGUCCUCCCGCUCCCGCUCGCGUCGCGCUGCCGGCCGGCGAGCACGGCCGCCCGUGACGACGAGGGAGCAGGGGGCAACGCCUACGACGUGCUCGGGGUGGGAGAGACGAGCUCCUCCGCGGAGAUCAAGGCCUCCUUCCACCGCCUCGCGAAGGAGACCCACCCCGACGUCGCUGCCGCCGCCGGUUCCCGCCGGUUCCUUCAGAUCCUCGCGGCCUACGAGAUCCUAUCCGAUUCCCAGCGAAGGGCGCACUAUGACAGCUUCCUGAGCUCGCAGAGGCUAGUUAUACAGAAGCAUCCCAGACCAUCGCAAUAUGUAUAUCCAUAUCCAUAUAGUUCAGGCAUUGUGAUGCCUAGAGAAAGUAACGUUGUCGAAUGGCUUAAAUGGUACAGGCUCACUGUCGAUGACAUUGUUACAAAAAAGAGGAUUGCGACGGGUUCAGGUUAUUUUGAUAGACUUGAGAGUGAACUGUACUCUGCUGUCCAUGCUGCAUACUAUGGCCCCGAGGUAGAGUCCAUGGAUCUCCUUCCUGAUUGCUUUGAAGCCGAGGAGAGGUCUGUGUAUGAGACAUCUGAGCUAUUGCACCUUGUAUCUGGCCGUGAUCUGCUUGGUAUUGUCAGUCUAGUCGAUGGCGUCCGAGAGCUGUCUGAUGCUUGUCGUGAGAAGCUGACACGUUCCGGUUCUGCAACCUGCGGCGUUAGUCCAAAUGUUGCAGUAAACAGGGAGAAAUGUUCAAUACCUAGGCAUGCAGAUAUUCACAGGCAAGAGAAUGAGGAUAGUGACAGUAUCCCAUCAGAUGCCUACAAGGACAUUCAGUUGCAGAUAUGUGGGAGAGUAGUGGCCACUGCAAAUAGGAGGCUCAAGUGCAAUUGCAUUGACAAUUCAGACAUGGAAGAUCACAUACAUGUAUUUCUUGUUCCAAAUGAGGUGGUUGCACCUGAUGUGAUGCAAGAGCAUCUCCUCCUUGGAACAAUCACUGGGUUGGACACCAGUGGAGAGGAAGGAUCUUGCUGUGUCUAUGAUGGCCAUGGAAUAAAGACCCAUGUAAUUGUUAAGCACAGGACACUGAUGGUUAAACACAUGCACUGGUAUCAAUUUGGAGAUGAAGUUUCACCCUGCGAGUGUCGAUGUAGCAGGGCUCGGUUGCCACCCAGCAGGUUUUGGCUUUUUGAGCCACGGUGUUACAUGCAUGACACUGGUGGUUGGUACAUCGAGACAUUUGGGAGAGACAAGAAAGGGAGGACAAUCCCAUCACCAAGACAUUGGCAUGGUGUCAAUGAACAUUCUGAAAAGAGAUUGCGUCCAGCACUGUAUCUGGUGGCUCUGGCAUACAGAUCUUUAGAUCUUGAGGAUGCUCAAAGAAGAAAAUGGAGCUUUAGGAGUUUCCUAGAGCUGCAAUUGUCUCAUAUUCGUCAGUUAAGUGAAAAAAUCUUUAGUGGUAAAAAAGGAGUUGAUAUGGGAGCACCAUGA